AGUCUGUCCUGACGCUCGGCUGCUAGUCGAACGUACAGAGAAGACACCAGAGGAAACACUCCCACGCCACCUUGUAUACAAGCUGCAAGGCUCGAUGGCGGAAAGGAGGAAAAUUAACCUGG
rnacentral:ribozyme from 1 species